GCAGCUCACUACAGAGAUCCAUUGCACAAUACGAUUAGCGGCAUGGGUUACCUAAUGGCAGAGGUGGGCACCGUGAUCCUGCCUGAGGAAUGCUGGGAUCAAAAACCGCUGAGAGAAGAGGUGUUGAGAGCACUAUACCAACUCCACGGACUGCGCCGAUAUCACGGAGAUCC
rnacentral:ribozyme from 1 species